ensembl:lncRNA
CUCUAGUUCCAGGUACUUGUCUGGGAGAGAAGAAGAACUACAUUCCCCAGAAGACUGUUCGAGUACUGUUAUCAUUCCUGCUCAGGAGAACAGAUAUAAGGCCUGCAGAUCACCUGACCUGGGUCUUCUUUCUUCUUGCCUCGUCGUGCUCGCUUUUGGAUCAUCUCACUGCUGCUCCCUACUGCACGCGAGGCUUCAGUAUUAGUAGGUAGAAAGGAUUAAUCUGUAAUUGCCUUGAUGGAGACACUCAAAUAUUAUUAACUACAAACUUAACAGGAUUUGAACAAUCCACCGUCUUUCAGGUAGCAAGCACAGAGAUAGCAUCAGCUUCAUUAGAGAAUCCCGAGCUACUCACUGAAUGGCUGUAACAACCCACUUCUACCAUGACUCAAGGAGAUAACUGAUAUCCUAGCCUGGAGAAAUCCCACUGACUGCUCAAUUUCUAGGAGAGGCUUCCAAGUAAG